rnacentral:rRNA from 1 species
UAUGUGAUCGUCUCUCGCAUAUCAAUAAGCGGAGGAAAAGAAACUAACAAGGAUUCCCCUAGUAACGGCGAGUGAAGCGGGAAGAGCUCAAAUUUGAAAUCUUAAAGGGUUUCCCUUUACGAAUUGUAGUUUAAAGAAGUGUUUUCUGUUGAGGUUUUAGGUAAAAGUUCUUUGGAAUAGGACAUCAUAGAGGGUGAGAAUCCCGUAUUUGACCUUUACUUUCAACUCUGUGAUACACGUUCAAAGAGUCGGAUUGUUUGGGAAUGCAGUCCAAAAUGGGUGGUAAAUUUCAUCUAAAGCUAAAUAUUGGCGAGAGACCGAUAGCGAACAAGUACCGUGAGGGAAAGAUGAAAAGAACUUUGAAAAGAGAGUUAAACAGUACGUGAAAUUGUCAAAAGGGAAGCGUUUGACACCAGUGUUGUUCUUCUGAAAAUCAAUUAAAGAACUGUUUAUGCUAAGUUGUUUAGACUUUAUCAGCUAACUGUUUAGUUUUGAGCUUUUCUUUAAUGCACUUUUCAGUUAACAAGUCAACAUCAAUUUCUUUUGCUGUAAAAAAGCUUGAGGAAGGUGGCUUGAGAUUCGUCUUAAGUGUUUAUAGCCUCUUGCCUAUGCAGUCGGAGAGAUUGAGGUCUGCAGCGUAGAUCCUUCGGGGCUAAAUGCAUUUGUGCUAAGUUAUAGCAUUUUAUAGACAACUUGUUGACUAUGAUUUGUCUUGUAGCUUACUCGCUUAUGUUAUUUUACCUACGCUUAGGAUGUUGACUGAUAUGUAGUCGUA